rnacentral:rRNA from 1 species
GACGAACGCUUGCGGCGUGCUUAACACAUGCAAGUCGAACGGAAAGGCCCUGCUUUUGUGGGGUGCUCGAGUGGCGAACGGGUGAGUAACACGUGAGUAACCUGCCCUUGACUUUGGGAUAACCUCAGGAAACUGGGGCUAAUACCGGAUAGGAGCUCCUGCUGCAUGGUGGGGGUUGGAAAGUUUCGGCGGUUGGGGAUGGACUCGCGGCUUAUCAGCUUGUUGGUGGGGUAGCGGCUUACCAAGGCUUUGACGGGUAGCCGGCCUGAGAGGGUGACCGGCCACAUUGGGACUGAGAUACGGCCCAGACUCCUACGGGAGGCAGCAGUGGGGAAUAUUGCACAAUGGGCGGAAGCCUGAUGCAGCAACGCCGCGUGCGGGAUGACGGCCUUCGGGUUGUAAACCGCUUUCGCCUGUGACGAAGCGUGAGUGACGGUAAUGGGUAAAGAAGCACCGGCUAACUACGUGCCAGCAGCCGCGGUGAUACGUAGGGUGCGAGCGUUGUCCGGAUUUAUUGGGCGUAAGGGCUCGUAGGUGGUUGAUCGCGUCGGAAGUGUAAUCUUGGGGCUUAACCCUGAGCGUGCUUUCGAUACGGGUUGACUUGAGGAAGGUAGGGGAGAAUGGAAUUCCUGGUGGAGCGGUGGAAUGCGCAGAUAUCAGGAGGAACACCAGUGGCGAAGGCGGUUCUCUGGGCCUUUCCUGACGCUGAGGAGCGAAAGCGUGGGGAGCGAACAGGCUUAGAUACCCUGGUAGUCCACGCUGUAAACGGUGGGUACUAGGUGUGGGGUCCAUUCCACGGGUUCCGUGCCGUAGUUAACGCUUUAAGUACCCCGCCUGGGGAGUACGGCCGCAAGGCUAAAGCUCAAAGGAAUUGACGGGGCCCCGCACAAGCGGCGGAGCAUGCGGAUUAAUUCGAUGCAACGCGUAGAACCUUACCUGGGUUUGACAUGGAUCGGGAGUGCUCAGAGAUGGGUGUGCCUCUUUUGGGGUCGGUUCACAGGUGGUGCAUGGCAGUCGUCAGCUCGUGUCGUGAGAUGUUGGGUUAAGUCCCGCAACGAGCGCAACCCUUGUUCACUGUUGCCAGCACGUUAUGGUGGGGACUCAGUGGAGACCGCCGGGGUCAACUCGGAGGAAGGUGGGGAUGACGUCAAGUCAUCAUGCCCCUUAUGUCCAGGGCUUCACGCAUGCUACAAUGGCUGGUACAGAGAGUGGCGAGCCUGUGAGGGUGAGCGAAUCUCGGAAAGCCGGUCUCAGUUCGGAUUGGGGUCUGCAACUCGACCUCAUGAAGUCGGAGUCGCUAGUAAUCGCAGAUCAGCAACGCUGCGGUGAAUACGUUCCCGGGGCU